rnacentral:lncRNA from 1 species
CCCAAUCGGCGGGAGAGACUCGUGUGUGUUUGGCCUUUCCUCAUGACGUAGCGUUCUGUGCCUCUCCCCCCCCCCCCCCCGCUCCCUCUCCUUUUCCCCUCCCUCCUCGCCCCCCUCCCCUUCCCCUCGCAUCCUUGGAAGCAACAAUUAAGCAGCUCUGGGAUAAAACACACAGCCCGCGGGAGCACGAGGGCAUUGCUUCAAGAGAUGGCAAGGCAGGCAGCUGCACCCCUCCUCCCCGGAGUCCUCCUCCUCCUCUCCAUCCUCCCGGCUACUCAGCAAGGAGGGGUUCCUGGUGCUAUCCCGGGAGGGGGAGUCCCAGGAGGAGGAUUUUUCCCAGGUGCUGGAGUUGGAGGUUUGGGAGCAGGACUCGGGGCUGCAGGAAAACCUCCCAAACCAGGUGCUGCGGGCCUGUUCCCCGGAGCUGCCUUCCCCGGGGGGGGUGUUCCCGGGAGCCGCCUCGGCCGCGGCGCUCAAGGCUGCUGCAAAAGCUGGUGCUGGGAUUCCUGGAGCUUUUCCAGGCGGUGUGCUCCCCGGAGCAGGUGUUCGCUUCCCUGGUGUGGGAGUGCUGCCUGGAGUCCCCACUGGAGCUGGAGUCAAGCCCAAAGCCCCAGGAGUUGGAGCAUUUGGAGGAAUCCCUGGACUGGGAGGUUUUGGAGGUCAGCAGCCUGGUGUCCCUCUGGGUUAUCCCAUCAAAGCUCCUAAGCUCCCAGGUAAGGUCCACAGCCAGCAGAGUGGCUUCACUGUGGGUGAAGGAUCCCCAGCAGUGUCAGGAGAAGGACCCGCCAUUCCCUGGGGCUGGGGCACGGUGCCCACAGGUCCCCUGGACCUGGCAGUGCCUGUGCUGGCCUUGGGACAGCAGGACAGAGCCAGGGGCUCUGCUGUGCCCUUCCUGUGGCACCCCAUGGGCAGCUCCUGGGGUUCUGCCUGUGGUCUUGCCCCCGGCUCACGUGGACAAUGCUGUGCCUCUCUCCAGCUGCUGUAAGGUAGGAAGGAUCACGUUCUGGGGACACACUCUGGGCCAGGACACCCUGGGAUGUCCCUGCCACCUGCUGCUGGUGCAAGGCACAGCCCUUGCAGGGACAAUCUGCUUUCUGGGCUGGGUGUCCUGGCUCAAGGAGCUGUAGCUGAGGCCACCUGGGGCCUCCAGGCAGAUCUCUGUCCCC